GAUGAACGCUGGCGGCGUGCCUAAUACAUGCAAGUCGAGCGAACGGACGAGAAGCUUGCUUCUCUGAUGUUAGCGGCGGACGGGUGAGUAACACGUGGAUAACCUACCUAUAAGACUGGGAUAACUUCGGGAAACCGGAGCUAAUACCGGAUAAUAUUUUGAACCGCAUGGUUCAAAAGUGAAAGACGGUCUUGCUGUCACUUAUAGAUGGAUCCGCGCUGCAUUAGCUAGUUGGUAAGGUAACGGCUUACCAAGGCAACGAUGCAUAGCCGACCUGAGAGGGUGUUCGGCCACCCGGAACCUGGGACACGGUCCAGACUCCUACGGAGGGCGGCGGUGGGAAAUCUUCCGCAUUGGGCGAAGGCCUGCGGGGGAAACGCGGCGUAGGUAAUGAAGGUCUUCGAUUCGUAAAACUCGGUAAUAGGGAAGAACCAUAUUUGUAGGUAACUGGCACCAUUUUAACGUUACUUAAUCGAAAGGCCCCGCCAAACUCCGU
rnacentral:rRNA from 1 species